rnacentral:rRNA from 1 species
AGGAAAAGAAACCAACCGGGAUUGCCUUAGUAACGGCGAGUGAAGCGGCAAAAGCUCAAAUUUGAAAUCUGGUACCUUCGGUGCCCGAGUUGUAAUUUGGAGAGGGCAACUUUGGGGCCGUUCCUUGUCUAUGUUCCUUGGAACAGGACGUCAUAGAGGGUGAGAAUCCCGUGUGGCGAGGAGUGCGGUUCUUUGUAAAGUGCCUUCGAAGAGUCGAGUUGUUUGGGAAUGCAGCUCUAAGUGGGUGGUAAAUUCCAUCUAAAGCUAAAUAUUGGCGAGAGACCGAUAGCGAACAAGUACAGUGAUGGAAAGAUGAAAAGAACUUUGAAAAGAGAGUGAAAAAGUACGUGAAAUUGUUGAAAGGGAAGGGCAUUUGAUCAGACAUGGUGUUUUGUGCCCUCUGCUCCUUGUGGGUAGGGGAAUCUCGCAUUUCACUGGGCCAGCAUCAGUUUUGGUGGCAGGAUAAAUCCAUAGGAAUGUAGCUUGCCUCGGUAAGUAUUAUAGCCUGUGGGAAUACUGCCAGCUGGGACUGAGGACUGCGACGUAAGUCAAG